rnacentral:tRNA from 1 species
AAUGAAGUGCCUGAAUAAAGGGUUAUUUUGAUAGAAUAAAUCAUGUAGUAAUACUACCUCCAUUA